rnacentral:rRNA from 1 species
CCUACGGGGGGCAGCAGUGAGGAAUAUUGGUCAAUGGCCGAAGGGCUGAACCAGCCAAGCCGCGUGAGGGAGGAAGGUACAGAGUAUCGUAAACCUCUUUUGUCAGGGAACAAAGACUGGGACGCGUCCCCGGAUGAGUGUACCUGAAGAAAAAGCAUCGGCUAACUCCGUGCCAGCAGCCGCGGUAAUACGGAGGAUGCGAGCGUUAUCCGGAUUUAUUGGGUUUAAAGGGUGCGCAGGCGGUCUGUUAAGUCAGCGGUCAAAGCCCGGGGCUCAACCCCGGCUCGCCGUUGAAACUGGCAGUC